UACGUAGGGUGCAAGCGUUGUCCGGAAUUAUUGGGCGUAAAGAGCUCGUAGGCGGUUUGUUGCGUCGGCUGUGAAAUCCCGAGGCUCAACCUCGGGUCUGCAGUCGAUACGAGCAAACUAGAGUGUUGCAGGGGAGACUGGAAUUCCUGGUGUAGCGGUGAAAUGCGUAGAUAUCAAGAGGAACACCUGAGGUGAAGACGGGUUGCUGGGCCAACACUGACGCUGAUGCGCGAAAGCCAGGGGAGCAAACGGG
rnacentral:rRNA from 1 species